GAUGAACGCUAGCGGCAGGCCUAACACAUGCAAGUCGAGGGAGAAGCCCUUCGGGGCAGAAACCGGCGCACGGGUGCGUAACGCGUAUGCAACCUACCUUUCACAGGGGGAUAGCCCGAAGAAAUUUGGAUUAAUACCCCAUAAUAUUAUUGGAUGGCAUCAUUUGAUAAUUAAAAUUACGAUGGUGAAAGAUGGGCAUGCGUCCUAUUAGCUAGUUGGAGUGGUAACGGCACCCCAAGGCUACGAUAGGUAGGGGUCCUGAGAGGGAGAUCCCCCACACUGGUACUGAGACAGGGACCAGACUCCAUACGGGAGGCAGC
rnacentral:rRNA from 1 species